GAGAGAGAGGCACAAUGGUUGUGCGAUUGGCUUGAAACCAGUAAUAGGUGGUUCGAUUCCCCCCCCUCUUG
rnacentral:tRNA from 1 species